GCCGGGUGCAGUGGCUUACACCUGUAAUCCCAGCAAUUUGGGAGGCCGAGGCAGGCGGAUCACCUGAGGUCGGGAGUUCAAGACCAGCCUGACCAACACGGUGAAAGCCUGUCUCUA
rnacentral:SRP_RNA from 1 species